rnacentral:rRNA from 1 species
CCCUUAGACACUCUAGGCGGCACGCGCGCUACAAUGGGCGGGAGGACGUGUUACUGCCACUGAAAAGUGGGGUGAAUCACGAAUCCUUGCCCGUGAAUGGGAUAGUUUGUUGCAAUUUUCGGACUUGAACUAGGAAUCCCUUGUAAGCAUGCUCAAGAAUAGCGUGUUGAAUACGUCCCUGCCGUUUGUACACACCGCCCGUCGUUUCUUCCGACUGAUACUCAUUGUGAGUUGCAAGGAUCCUUUAUUGGAAAAUUGCCGCGAAUGCUUUGUAUUGGAGGAAGAAAAAGUCGUAACA